rnacentral:tRNA from 1 species
ACAAAAUAUAGCUUAAACAAAGCCCCUUGCUUACACCGAGAAAAUAUCUGUGAAACCCGGAUUAUUCUGA